GAUGAACGCUGGCGGCGUGCCUAAUACAUGCAAGUCGAGCGAACAGAUGAGGAGCUUGCUCCUCUGACGUUAGCGGCGGACGGGUGAGUAACACGUGGAUAACCUACCUAUAAGACUGGGAUAACUUCGGGAAACCGGAGCUAAUACCGGAUAAUAUAUUGAACCGCAUGGUUCAAUAGUGAAAGACGGUUUUGCUGUCACUUAUAGAUGGAUCCGCGCCGCAUUAGCUAGUUGGUAAGGUAACGGCUUACCAAGGCAACGAUGCGUAGCCGACCUGAGAGGGUGAUCGGCCACACUGGAACUGAGACACGGUCCAGACUCCUACGGGAGGCAGCAGUAGGGAAUCUUCCGCAAUGGGCGAAAGCCUGACGGAGCAACGCCGCGGGAGUGAGGAAGGUCUUCGGAUCGUAAAACUCUGUUAUUAGGGAAGAACAAAUGUGUAAGUAACUAUGCACGUCUUGACGGUACCUAAUCAGAAAGCCACGGCUAACUACGUG
rnacentral:rRNA from 1 species